GUCUUUUUGUAUUUUAUAUAAAGUCUAACCUGCCCAUUGAAAAUUUUUAAAAGGCUGCGGUAUUAUGACCGUACAAAGGUAGCAUAAUCAUUAGUUUUUUAAUUGAAAACUAGUAUGAAUGGUUGAAUGAAAAAUUAACUUUUUUAAUUAAAGUAUUGAACUUUACUUUUUAUUUAAAAGGAUAAAAUAUAUUUAAAAGACGAGAAGACCCUAUAGAGUUUUAUAAUCAAAACUAUAUUUUUUAAAAAGAUUUUUAUAAAUUUUAUAUUUUUUAUUAUUUUGUUGGGGUGAUAAUAAAAUUUAAAUAACUUUUAAUAUUUAAACCAUUAAUAUAUGAGUAAAUGAUCCAGUAUUAUUGAUUAAAAAAUUAAAUUACCUUAGGGAUAACAGCGUAAUUUUUUUUUAAGUUCAUAUUAAUAAAAAAUUUUGCGACCUCGAUGUUGGAUUAAGAUUUAAUUUUAGGUGCAGCAGUUUAAAUUUUAAGUCUGUUCGACUUUUAAAUUCUU
rnacentral:rRNA from 1 species